rnacentral:rRNA from 1 species
UACGGGGGGAGCAAGCGUUGUUCGGAUUUACUGGGCGUAAAGGGCGCGUAGGCGGUCGUGACAAGUCAGUUGUGAAAUCUCCGAGCUUAACUCGGAAAGGUCAACUGAUACUGUGCGGCUAGAGUGCAGAAGGGGCAACUGGAAUUCUUGGUGUAGCGGUGAAAUGCGUAGAUAUCAAGAGGAACACCUGCGGCGAAGGCGGGUUGCUGGGCUGACACUGACGCUGAGGAGCGAAAGCGUGGGGAGCGAACAGG